rnacentral:rRNA from 1 species
ACUGGUUGAUCCUGCCAGACCCGACCGCUAUUGGGGUCGGAUUAAGCUAUGCAUGUCGAACGCUCCCAGCUAUGUGGGAGCGUGGCGGACGGCUCAGUAACACGUAGUUAACCUGCCCUUAGGACGAGGAUACCCCCGGGAAACUGGGUAUAAUCCUCGAUAGCUACCAUUACCUGGAAUGGCAUGGUAGCCAAAGGCUCUUCCAACAUGCUGGAACGGUGCCUAAGGAUGGGACUGCGUCCGAUCAGGUAGUUGGUGGUGUAACGGACCACCAAGCCUUUAACCGGUACGGGCUGUGAGAGCAGUAGCCCGGAGAUGGACACUGAGACAAGGGUCCAGGCCCUACGGGGCGCAGCAAGCGCGAAACCUCCACAAUGCACGCAAGUGUGAUGGGGCGACCCCCAGUGCCUCCUAAAAAUGGAGGCUUUUCUUCCGCGUAGGUACCGGAAGGAAUAAGGAGAGGGCAAGGCUGGUGCCAGCCGCCGCGGUAAAACCAGCUCUUCAAGUAGUCGGGAUGAUUAUUGGGCCUAAAGCAUCCGUAGCCGGCCCGGCAAAUCUUUGGUUAAAUCCGCCCUCUCAAGGGGCGGGCCGCUAGAGUGACUACCGGGCUUGGAGGCGGGAGAGGCACGGGGUACUACAGGGGUAGGGGUGGAAUCCUAUCAUCCCUGUGGGACCACCAGUGGCGAAGGCGCCGUGCUGGAACGCGCUCGACGGUGAGGGAUGAAACCCAGGGGAGCGAACCGGAUUAGAUACCCGGGUAGUCCUGGGCGUAAACGAUGCCGGCUAGGUGUUCGCAUGGCUACGAGCUGUGCGAGUGCCGUAGCGAAGGCGAUAAGUCGGCCGCCUGGGAAGUACGGUCGCAAGACUGAAACUUAAAGGAAUAGGCGGGGGAGCACCACAAGGGGUGAAGCCUGCGGUUCAAUUGGACUCAACGCCGCAAAACUUACCGGAGACGAUAGCUGUAUGAAGGUCAGGCUGAUGACCUUACCUGACUCGCUAAGAGGUGGUGCAUGGCCGUCGCCAGUUCGUGCCGUGAGGUGUCUGCUUAAGUGCAGCAACGAACGAGACCCCCACGCCCUGUUGCCCCCGAUAGGGGAAACCCUGUCGCGCACACUGGGCGGACCGCCACUGAGAAAGUGGAGGAAGGUGGGGGCCACGGCAGGUCAGUAUGCCCCGAAUUUUCCGGGCCACACGCGGGCUGCAAUGACCGGGACAAUGGGCUCCUACCCCGAAAGGGGGCGGUAAUCCCCUAAACCCGGCCGUAGUUAGGAUCGGGGGCUGCAACUCGCCCCCGUGAAUAUGGAAUCCCUAGUAACUGCGUGUCAACAUCGCGCGGUGAAUACGUCCCUGCUCCUUGCACUCACCGCCCGUCGCUCCACCCGAGUUGGCUCUAGGCGAGGCUUUGUCUUUUAGGCAAUUUCGAACCUGGGGUCGGUAAGGGGGGAGAAGUCGUAACAAGGUA